ensembl:lncRNA
AAAGGGGGAUACCUAGUCAGUUGUACAACAGAAAGGGGGAUACCUAGUCAGUUGUACAACAGAAAGGGGGAUACCUAGUCAGUUGUACAACAGAAAGGUGGAUACCUAGUCAGUUGUACAACAGAAAGGGAAAGGGGGGUACCUAGUCAGUUGUACAACAGAAAGGGCGAUACCUAGUCAGUUAUACAACUGAAUGCAUUCAACUGAAAUGUGUCUUCCACAUUUAACCCCUCUGAAUCAGAGAGGUGCAGGGGGCUGACAUAAUUAACGACAGAUUUUUUUUUUUUACCAUUCGGUUACUGGCCCAACCCUCCUACCCGCCAGUGCUUGGUUUGUAAUGAAUAUUAUUAAUCACUUUGAUAAGGUCUGUUGAUUAUAAAAAUGUUUUUGGGGUAACAUAUACUGUUCUCAGAGAGAUUCAACUGCUCAUCUAUACCCAGAGAAUCAGAGUGAUGUCGUUAGGCUGUGAUUUAUCUAUACCCAGAGAAUCAGAGUGAUGUCGUUAGUUUAUGACUCAUCUAUACCCAGAGAUUCAGAGUGAUGUCAUUAGGUUCUGACUCAUCUAUACCCAGAGAAUCAGAGUGAUGUCGUUAGGUUCUGACUCAUCUAUACCCAGAGAAUCAGAGUGAUGUCGUUAGGUUCUGACUCAUCUAUACCCAGAGAAUCAGAGUGAUGUCGUUAGGUUCUGACUCAUCUAUACCCAGAGAAUCAGAGUGAUGUC